rnacentral:rRNA from 1 species
UCCUUGCUCUGCCUCUGGCUUCCCCCCCAUGUCCUGUCUUUGGCAUUGGCCAGAGAUGGAGCAAGAGCAUGAUUGUUGGUACCCGAAAGACAGUGAACUAUGCCUGGUCAGGACGAGGCCAACAGAAACUCUGGUGGAAGUCCAUAACGAUUCUGAUGUGCAAAUCGAUUGUUGGACCUGCAUAUAGGGGCAAAAGACUAAUUGAACCAUCUAGUAGCUGG